AUCGUUCCCUAUUAUUGGUCAAACUGCUGCGAGGCCACGAACGCUGCGAUUACGUUCACGCCGCCGGUCUAACAGCCGCGAGAAUUUCGUUUAUUCCUCUGCCGCCAUUUGAUAAAGGCCGGUCUCGCAUAGUGGUUUGGUGUUCACGGCUUCACGAACUUGAAAAGAAGCCCUAGCCUAAUUAUUCCUUGUUGCCGGAAAACAUUGAGACAGUGAUUCAUACGAUUCGAGUUUUGGAGGAGACACAUUCAUUCAGCCUUUCGCAAUUUACUAUUUUCUGUAUAUACGUUGCAAACGUUAUUUUAUUUUAUUUCUACAUAUAUAAAGUAAUAAUCUUUCAACAUUCAUUAUAGUGUACUAUAAGUAAAACGUUUGUAAACGUAAACCCUACGUAUAUGCAACGUCUUUGUUGAAAUGAAAUAUUUUCAUAAUA